UACAGAGGUCUCAAGCGUUGUUCGGAUUCAUUGGGCGUAAAGGGUGCGUCGGCGGCGCGGUAAGUCGGGUGUGAAAUCUUGGAGCUUAACUCCGAAACUGCAUUCGAUACUGCCGUGCUUGAGGACUGGAGAGGAGACUGGAAUUUACGGUGUAGCGGUGAAAUGCGUAGAUAUCGUAAGGAAGACCAGUGGCGAAGGCGGGUCUCUGGACAGUUCCUGACGCUGAGGCACGAAGGCCAGGGGAGCAAACGGG
rnacentral:rRNA from 1 species